CUCCGAAUGUGGGUGAUAGAAGGCAGUGUGGUCUGAGUUCUGGGCAGUUGGCAUGGCUCCAGCCUCCCACAGAGGCACCAGGAAGAAGCCUCCCGUCCCAGUUUUUCUUAGACUCUGCAGGGCUGGGCACAGGGAGGGCCGGGCCCACGGGGCUUAGUUACUUCUUAUCGGCUUAUCUACUACUUCUUGUCUGAGGAUCCCAGGCAUGCUCAGGGCAAGGAGAACGCACUGAGUUCCAAGGACCAAGCCCUUUUCAGCAUCUCAGGAGUUGUGAUCCUCACGCUGGGCCUCUCCCAGGUGAAACUGGCUUAUGGGAAAAUGGGAUCUGGCCUCUUGGCUCAGAGGGUACAUCCCUCCCAAAAGGAAAAAAUGAAGAUCGAUGAUUGCCUUACAGAAGUUCAGACAGUUUGGGGCACUUGUGGAGCCAGAAAGCCGGUCUUCCUGUUCCUGGCUAGAACCCUCUUCUGCUAUAGUGAUGGAACAGUGGUCUUCAGAAACAAUGCCCGUCAUCUCCACUUCUGUGAACAUGUCCUGUACGGACAUCCCCCAAGAGGGUCCUGUGGAUUCGAUGCCACUCUGUUGAGGACACCACUGGCUCUAGUCCUGAUCCAGAGACUUGGAUGGGGAAGACUGCACGUGACAGAGGAGGAGAGAAGGGCACUUUCAGCAAAGCUGUGCCUGUGUCAGGCCACUCUCCCAGUGCCUCUGACGCUCUGGAAACAGCUGUUGGAGAAGUCAGGUAGGUCCUAG
rnacentral:lncRNA from 1 species